rnacentral:rRNA from 1 species
CCUACGGGUGGCAGCAGUGGGGAAUAUUGCGCAAUGGGCGAAAGCCUGACGCAGCGACGCCGCGUGAGGGAUGAAGGUCUUCGGAUCGUAAACCUCUGUCAGCAGGGAAGAACGGUCACUGUGCUAAUCAGCAGUGACUUGACGGUACCUGCAAAGGAAGCACCGGCUAACUCCGUGCCAGCAGCCGCGGUAAUACGGAGGGUGCGAGCGUUAAUCGGAAUUACUGGGCGUAAAGCGCUCGUAGGCGGUAUGUCAAGUCUAGGGUGAAAUCCCCGCGCUCAACGUGGGAACUGCAUUUGAAACUGGUAAACUGGAGGGUGUGAGAGGAUAGUCGAAUUCCAGGUGUAGGAGUGAAAUCCGUAGAGAUCUGGAGGAACAUCAGGGGCGAAGGCGACUAUCUGGCACAUAACUGACGCUGAGGAGCGAAAGCGUGGGUAGCAAACAGGAUUAGAUACCCGAGUAGUC